rnacentral:rRNA from 1 species
UACGUAGGGUGCGAGCGUUGUCCGGAAUUAUUGGGCGUAAAGGGCUCGUAGGCGGUUUGUCGCGUCGGGAGUGAAAUCCACUGGCUUAACUGGUGGCUUGCUUUCGAUACGGGCAGACUGGAGGUAUGCAGGGGAGAACGGAAUUCCUGGUGUAGCGGUGAAAUGCGCAGAUAUCGGGAGGAACACCGGUGGCGAAGGCGGUUCUCUGGGCCUUACCUGACGCUGAGGAGCGGAAGCGUGGGGAGCGAACAGG